GCAAUCUCGUUCCACUACUGGACGGAAAGCAUAGGCAAAGAUGUUUAUCACUAACCCAAGAUAGACCACUGCCUGUCGUUUCAAUGGGAACAAAUUAGUCAUAGUGGGCAGAACAAGCAAGGAGGUGGCAGAGCCAAACUCGAGCUAGCGAGAUCCUAUUGGCACAUUUAGGUUUCACAAGACAAGAUGGAGGAGACCCUGACUGCUACCGUAACCAAGCCAGCUUGUUUGUGGAUUGCAGUAGAAGUAAAAAUGGCAGAAGUGAGAAGACCGUAGAAGAGAAGAAGACAAGGAGAUGGUGUUGCGUCUUCAUCCAGGGCAGACAUCAGUCUGCACAAACACACAUACACUCCUCUGCUCUACCUUUUCUGCUCUACUCUACUCUGCUGUAUUCUAAAUUACUCUGCUCUAUUCUAGCCUACUCGCCUCUGCUCUACUGAACUCUCCUCUGGGUGUGACCACUUGUGGAAACCUCAACAAUGAUCAUUUGAGUAGCUUCAGCCAGGUCCUGCCUGUUAGCCUCCAUUCUUCUCUCCACAUCCUCCUUCUCCUACCUCCUUUUCAUCAUCCUCUCUCUCGUCUACCUCUUCUCCCUUCCUCUACUUUAGGGCAGUGUUUCCCAACUCCGGUUCUCGUCCUGAAGUACCCCCAACACCACACAUUUUUGUUGUAGCCCUGGACAAAAAAUCUGAUUGAACUAAUUGAGUAUCGACACAUGCUCCAACCAUGCCCUUAGCACGUUCUCUCUCCGGGUCCUAGCAACUAGAUUUCCAGUCGUAGGUUACCAGGUAGCCUAUAGAAAGUUGCCACUACCUGCGCCAAAGUCCUGCAUGUGACUUGCAAGGUGAUCAGCAGUGCCUCAAAGCAUAGACUGUAAAAAGUAACCAAGAGGCGUGUUCAUUUUGAGGCCCCUGAACCUCCAUUUCAAGGCUGCCGAAGACUGGGAGGGUGAUGUAAUGAAUUUGAUUCGAGAAAUGACGCUCGUAACAUUUCAACAAAUGUGGAAUCAAGGUGAUUUUUUAAAGUAGCCUGGUCCUAUACGUUUUUUGUGAAGAUAGAUCAUCGCAGAAUCAUCCUCUUGUGCACAGCGAGCCUCUAUGCACGAGGCAAAUCGGCGGGCCUUGCUGUCUGUUCGUGGAAUGUUUGUUCAGUAAUCGUGUAAAUGUUUUAGUUGCUUAUUUAUUUGGAGUUGGAAAUGACAAAAAUGCACGUGUGAUAGCGUAGGCUACGGUAGGUCUGCUCUGCUCUCACAGUCACCAUCAUGUCACAAUGUUGAGUCUUUCUACUGUUGUCCCCACAAUUAAAUCUGUCUCCGUCUGUUAGUAGGUUACGUUCGUAUGUUCGUUCCUCACACACGAUAUCUCAGACAGCACUGGCCUGAUUUUGACGAAAGUUGGGUGAAUUAUGCAUCUUGCCAUAGAGAUCCGGCAUUACACUGAUUGUCCAGUUGGUGGCGUGAAAACAAGUGAUUGAAAAUGCAAACUUUGAAAGGUCAGGCCCCUAACCCUGUUUGACCUAAAGUCAUGAAAUUCUGUGCAUAGCUCCCUCUCCUCACAAGGAACAAAUUUGCCUCAUGGACCAAUAUGGUCCGUCAUGAUGGAUCUUCUGCCAUUUUGAAUUUUGUGAAAAACGUAAUACACUAGGCUACUCUGGCACGAUCUGCAAGAAACUUGAUAUGUGGCAUCUAUGGACAAAGGUAUCUCAACGCAAUACUUUCCAGACGAGUACCUAAAACAACAUGGCCUCUAUUGACCAAUAAACA